UACGGAGGGUGCGAGCGUUGUCCGGAAUCAUUGGGCGUAAAGGGCGCGUAGGUGGCCUGCUAAGCGUGCGGUGAAAGUCGGGGGGCUCAACCCCCCGAUCGGCCGUGCGAACUGGGAGGCUUGAGCACUGUAGAGGCAGGCGGAAUUCCGGGGUGUAGCGGUGGAAUGCGUAGAGAUCCGGAAGAACACCGGUGGCGAAGGCGGUCUGCUGGGGGUGAGGCUGACGCUGAUGCGCGACAGCGUGGGGGAGCAAACAGG
rnacentral:rRNA from 1 species